UUGUAAUUUCCAAACCUAAUUUUAAGACGGCAGCCCAAUCGACUUAUCUUUUCUCCUGAUUCUUCAUCCUUAUCUCCCAAAAUUGCCCCCAAUUCAAUAUCUUUAGCCUACAUGAUUCUUGCACAACGAACUAUUCAUCCCAACAGUCGGUGUACAUUGAAGACGCCAAUUGAUGAACGUGUAAAUUGAAGACGCCGAUUGAUGAUUGAAACGGUGGAAACAGUUAUAAAUAUGAUCAAUGAUCAAUUAGGUUUGAUGAUUGAAAUCAACUCUUGAUAUUGAAGAUGUUCAAUCUGAUUUGGUUUUGAAAUACGAUUAGCAUGGAUAGGGCUCAUUUGAUUUGUUGAUUAUGAUGGACAACAUUCAAUUGCAUGCUGAAUUUUAGAAUCAAGAAUGGUUAUUUUCUAGGUUCUAGGGUUCCUACCACUAUUUCGGCUACCCACUUGAAGAUGCAUGCUCUGUUUUGGUCGACUCUGCAACAAGGUUAGCGUUUCUUGUUAUUGUUUGGAGUUAUACCCGUUUAUGUUUGUUAGGAAAAGAUAUCAUCCCUACUAGGAAACCACUUGUUACAAUUUCGUCAAUCCGUUACAAGGUAGGUAACACCCCCUUUUAUUGUUCUUGGUACAAGACAUUUGUGUUUAGAUACCAUAAAUUAAAUUACGUUUGUCUUGUUGUUUAUGCAGGGCGAUUUGUGCAUAUCUCACCAACAAACCAUCACUUCCCUUCUCUAUUACGAGUACAAGACGAAGAUAGAGGUCGCAGACAUAGGGGUUUGAAGGAGGUUCACAAAAGGUGUGGGGAAAAUGCGACUGCGGCGUGGAAUGUGUCUUUUUGGAACUAGAUGUGACUCGUUACAACCUAUACAAGAACUUAACUGUUUUGAUUGUUAACUCAUGGGUCAAAUUAUGUCCAUCCCGCUGCAACGCGCGGGUUCCCCACUAGUAAAACCUAAUAUACAAAACGGUUGGACGAUCAACGGCACAUCAUUCUUGACAGAGACAUCAGACGCGACAAGAAAAUUAUUUUGCAAGCUUUCAAGGUUCAAGAAUUAUUAGAGAUCAAGGAUUAAACGGGUUCUAAUUCUCCGGUUCUUCUUGUUUUCUAGUUUUUCUUAUUUUAAUUCAAUGAACUCAGUUAUGCGACUUUGUUUAUUUGUUUUUAAGACCAUGAUGCUUGGCUAAACAUUUAAGCCACCUAGACUUGAUGAAUGGAUUGAUAUAGAGUUUUUACUAUU